ensembl:lncRNA
CUUUUUGAUCUCUGCAGGAGCGGGUGGUCCUUCUGCAGCAGCACGGAGCAGAACCUUUUCCUUGCUGGUCUCAGUUCUGCCAUGGGAGCAGUGAAAGGCACAAUGGGAUGAUUUUACAGAAUUUCACUCUAACUGAGCCUUUUCCUGAGUUGCUUGUCACCCCUUUGCUUAGCUGUGCUCCUGUGGCCAGAGCACACUGCAUGAAUCUCCUUCUGCAGCCUUACCGAAAAGGGGGUGUCUGGCAGCUUGGAUUGGUAUCCCUUCCCUGCUUCACACUGAGGCCACAGCAAGGCCUGUUAUCCACAUACUGGGGUGAUCUCCUGGCCCUAUGGCCUUCUGUGGCAUCAGCCAGGCUGACCGCUUCCCCUGAGGUCAAGCAAAUUGAUCUGCUCACCCAAGGUGCUUCCUCCUCUUCUUCUGUGCAGAUCUAGGCAGAUCUUUUUUUUUUUUUUCCUGGAAAAAAAGCCACCCAAAAGAAUGAAGCAAACAUGGGAAAAAAUGUUGGUGUGAUGGCACAAAUGUGGUCUGCAGGAAAGCAAAGCAGACCCCUGUGGGUCAUCUUCUUGUCACUCACCCAUGAGAAAUUCUAUACAGUGACAAAGAGCAUGGAUGCGAGCUGAGCCAAAGGGACUGCAGUGGAUAUGAAGUAUGAAAGCAUGGUCUUCAGUAGUGAGAGAAGGACAGGGCCUGGCAAGGCACACACCUGACUGCUCCUGCCUCACUCCCACCAGGCUCAAGAGCAAAGACAUCACUGUGUCACUGGAGAUAGCAUAGGACGCUACAGGGUGACUUGGCCAAGCAGGGUGCAGUGAUGGCCUGUACCUGCUGCCUUAAAGAAAGUGGCAAAAAUCUUACUGACUUCCUGUGGGUCAGAAGUGGGUACAGGAUACUGUUCCUGCCCAGUCUCCAGCCCAUCAAGGCAGCCAGAUAUUUUUGCAGCACUGGGAAGCUGGUGUUAACAAGAAAAUAAAGUGCAGAGGCAAAGAGGACUUUCUGAAGUAUGCCUGACUCAAAGCUAAGUGGAUUUUGCUGAAGUGUGUAUGGGAGCUGUUCCAUGGUGGAUUAACAACUGUCCUUGCCGAUUAACACAAAAAAUAUUCUUCAGCAUAUAGGACGUAGUGUAGGAUUGAAGAGGCUUAAUUAGGCUGGAGCAGCUUUACAUGAUGCCUAACAGUGCCCUGUCAGAGCCUUCCAGUGACUAAGAGCCAAGUGCUGCAAUUAAGCCUGGACCAGUUGAGAACAGAGAAAACCUGGGAAGGAAGAAGAGCAUGAGGAUGGUAAGAUGGAGGGCAGUCAGAACAACCACAGGUGGCUUUUACUGCUUCUGGAUAAUGGAGGUAUGAACAUCUGUCAUAUUUGAGCUAGAGAAUUCCUCCUGUUAGUUUGCCACUGGUGGAAACUUCCUGAUGAGAGCACUCCCCUCUUGCACAGUGGACCUCCAGUGUCUGGAAACCAAACACUCUCUUUCCUCUGAGUUUUUCUCUCUCACGGUGCCAACAUUGAAAUAUUUUUCUUUCCCACCACAGGGUGUUUUUUGAUGUUGUUGUUGAUGAUCAUUUUCAUUUUUGGUGUUUUCUUUUAUGGCUUUUGAGUCAGCUGUCUUAAAAGAGGAAGACUUGACCAUCUGGUUCUGGGAACUAUCAGCAUCUGAGAGGCAUGGCUGGUUUGUACUUCAUUACAGGCCUGGUUAAAAUAAACAGAACCAUCAUCCUUAGAAAAUAAGAUGCACCAGAUGUAAAACAACCUCAAGGUUUGUGGAGAGAGGGUGAAAUUUAUGCAGAAUUUGAGAGAGAUUGAGGGAUUAAUAGAGGGGUGUUAUAAAAUGGAAUUUCAGUUGCAGUUACUUCUGAUCACAGAAUCAUAGAAUCACCAAGGUUGGAAAAGACCUACAGGAUCAUCCAGUCCAACCAUCUGCCUAUCACCAAGAUGUCUUAUCUUGAAAGGAGGAGGGUGGAGACAGCUAAAAACACAAAGGGAAACAGAACCCUUUGGUAACCCACUGGUUACCCAUCAUGUGUUUUUUCCCUUUUUCUUUCUUCCCUACUACCCCCAGUAUGCUGGCUUCGUAGGUGUGGUAUAUAACUCGCUCCUCUGAUGGGGAAUGGGCACAGCCUGUGAGGCAGCCAUGGAUCCAUGCCCAAGAAGUUACAAUUACCCAGUGCUAUGGGGAAGACCCAAGUGGCCCAUUCUGCAGGUAGCCUUUACCUUGUCUGUGUGACCAACUGACAAAGAGAAUAAGUAAUUUCUUAGCUUUUCAAUGGUGAACUGCGUCUGUUUUUUGAAUAUCAAUAACUAAGGAAAAAGCUUGAGUCCACUGUGGAUUCUUUAGCCUGACAAAAUCAGGUAUUAGUAUGGGUUGAAAUGAAUGGGGCGACCGUGGCACCUUUCUCGUUGGUGCAGUGAGAACUAUCUGGAGCAGGCUCCUCUCCUGCACAAAACAGGAUGGCCAGUUUGCUGGACUAAAUUUGGCUUCACCCCACCCAGCCCUGUCUGUCCUGUUUAUACCUCCAAACUGUGUUUUCCUUGUGUGAACUUGCCUAAUCAUGUGCAACAAAGUGUACAAAAUAACUCAUGCUGUCAAGAG